CCUACGGGAGGCAGCAGUCGAGAAUCAUUCACAAUGGGGGAAACCCUGAUGGUGCGACGCCGCGUGGGGGAAUGAAGGUCUUCGGAUUGUAAACCCCUGUCAUGUGGGAGCAAAUUAAAAAGAUAGUACCACAAGAGGAAGAGACGGCUAACUCUGUGCCAGCAGCCGCGGUAAUACAGAGGUCUCAAGCGUUGUUCGGAAUAACUGGGCGUAAGGCGUGCGUAGGCUGUUUCGUAAGUCGUGUGUGAAAGGCGCGGGCUCAACCCGCGGACGGCACAUGAUACUGCGAGACUAGAGUAAUGGAGGGGGAACCGGAAUUCUCGGUGUAGCAGUGAAAUGCGUAGAUAUCGAGAGGAACACUCGUGGCGAAGGCGGGUUCCUGGACAUUAACUGACGCUGAGGCACGAAGGCCAGGGGAGCGAAAGGGAUUAGAUACCCCUGUAGUC
rnacentral:rRNA from 1 species